GGGCCAACACCAGUAACGGUUGUCUUCCCCCCAAGUGAUCGAGAGAUCCCUCGCGUACACCAAGAAGCAGUUGCCAUGUGAUGCCUUGUCAACCCAAUAUUUCUGCUUCAACGAUAAUACGAUUUCAUGUAAAACAAUCCAGAGCAGCAGGAAGGAGCGUAGGUUUGGUCACAGUCAGUCAGUCACUUUGUUUGUUGUGAUCUAAUCCUGAAGGAAUUAGAUUCCAUGGAGUGGAAUCUUAAUGGAAGACCGUUCUUUAGAGCUAGAGUUGCCGGAUUCCAUAGACGUCCAACUUUUUAUGCAUACAGAGCAUCUACGAAAAGAUAGGCAUUAUGGAUUGUUGCUUUUAUAUUUUCUCAUAUUUUUUUUACUCAUUAUUUGCUACUAAAUAGUCGGUUAAUACGUUCCACCGUUUAAGAUAUUUUUUUUUUAUUAAUGAACUUGCGUGUACUAUAUA